UUUUUUUUUUUUUUUUUUUUUUUUAUGGUGUGGUGUUUUAAUUUUUUUUUUUUUUUUUUUUUUAAUUAUUAUUCUUUUUUUUUUAGAAGAUACCAUUGCAGAGUCAAAUAAUGUGACAUACUCAGAAGUCGGGAAAAGAGGAAAGAAAUGCAAAAGUAAAGAUAUUAAUACUGCAGGACCCAGUGAUUUGACUUACGCACAGAUCAAUAUACAGGACAAGAAGAAAACCAAAGGCAAAGGGAAGAGCAGUGAGUCUGGAGACACUUUGUACUCUGAACUGAAGCACAACACAGAUAGAGAUGCUGAUGCUGAAGUUGGUGAUGCAACUUAUGCUGCACCUAUUAGGAAGAAGAAUAAAACCCAUGCUGAUGCUGAAGUUGGUGAUGCAACUUAUGCUGCACCUAUUAGGAAGAAGAAUAAAACCCGUAAGAAUUUGCACUUGUUCCUGCAGAUUGUGGCACAUAUUGGUUCUUUUACAUUAUAAAUAUGUUUUAAGUGAUUCAGAUUAGUUGCGUGUGAGUAUGAAAAGUUAAUCAUGAUCUUAGAACAGUAAAUCAUCAGCUCAAAUCAGAGGUUUGUGUUAUUCACAUCUCCUGCAUAAAGCAUCAUCUUUUAUCUGUUUAAAGGUCCCUGAGUGCAGAGAAGACAACAGACGGCUAAAAGAGAUUCACAGCAGCAGACACAGUAACGCUUGCAUUGCUUAAAAAAUUAAUCUGAGUGAACUGCUUAUGCACAUGCUUGAUUGAAAUACUUUAGAGAUAUGCAGUGUAUUAUCUGUACACAUUUUAUGUAAGCAAAAAAAUUUAUCUAUAAUAUUUAGUACAACAUUUUCUCCAGUGGGCACUUAUGUUUAACACAACUCUAAAUGAAACUGUCCUAAACGUUAUUCCAUUAUUCUGUUGGUGCUGCACAACAGUGUAAUAAAUAGUGUAACUGGGCAUUUAGUUGAUAAAAU
ensembl:lncRNA